AGAUGAGGUGGCUGUGGUGGUAGUGGUGUCAGGAGUGGCGACUCUGAGGGGGGUGUAGUAGCAGAAGUAGUAGUAGUAGUGUGGUGGUGGUUAUAGAGGUGUGGUGGGAGCUAGAGAGUCAAGGUGGGAGCUAUCGUCACGUUCACUGCUGUCGUGUUCCCUAAACAAGGCACUGGAGCUUCCUUUCCCCCAUUCACAUAUUGGUAGCCCAGGGAUGUUGCUGACGAGAUCAAGUACUCUCACACACACCUAACACAAGAGACAGCAAAUAUAGACAUGUAUUUUUUUUCUAAUCAGAAACAAGGUUGAGAAAACUUACAAAUGAAUUGCAGAUAUAGUCAAUGUCAUACGUAAUAGUGUCAACAUGUUUUCGAAAACUGACCGUCUUCCCACGAUGCCUGAACCGGUAGUGUAACCAUGACAUUAACAUCCUGGGUAUAUCCACAGCACAGGUUAGAAUCAUAAUAGAUACACAGCCAAGUGACAAUCACUUGGGAGAGCUCUCAUGUGAUUCCAGAUGAUGUUAUCGUCUCUGGGUACAUCCACAACAGAAUUUAGAAGCAUAAUAGAUGAAAACGAUAUGGUGGAAUUUACCACGAUUAGAUCUCGGGUGAUUACAGAUGAUGUCACAGUGUUUGGAAAUUAACAACUGAUUCUUUCAUAAUGGCUAACAAAGUUUACAAUAAGGAAAAUAAGGAGGGUGAAGAUAAUAAUGACAGCACUGGUACUGGUGAUAACAACAAUGUUAGUGAUGAUGAUAUCAAUAUCACUGAUAAACUUCAAUUCUUUGAAAAAUGAGUUGUUGAUAAAAUAAAGUUCCAACCUAGAAAGUGGAGUUGAUGGCAUCACCUAACCCCUUUCCCCUCAAAAUUGCUAACCUUGUGCCUGAAUAAAAAAUGUCUUCCGUU